UCCCUGGAGGACUAGUGGUCAUGCCUCAGCGCACAUACCACCACAGCCCGUGUUCGAUUCCCGGGCAGGGAA